AUUGAACGCUGGCGGCAGGCCUAACACAUGCAAGUCGAGCGGCUCGGGGAACGGGGGAGGAUGGCCUAGGAAUCGGCCUGUUAGUGGGGGAUAACGUCCGGAAACGGGCGCAAAUACCAAAUACUAUCAGCAUAGCCUAGGCCGGAUUAGCUAGAUGGUGGGGGAAAGGCGCACCAAGGCGACGAUCCGUAACUGUACUGAGAGGAUGAUCAGUCACACUGGAACUGAGACACGGUCCAGACUCCUACGGGAGGCAGCAGUGGGGAAUAUUGGACAAUGGGCGAAAGCCUGAUCCAGCCACGCCGCGUGUGUGAAGAAGGUCUUCGGAUUGUAAAGCACUUUAAGUGGGGAGGCGUUACCAACAGAAUAAGCACCGGCUAACUUCGUGCCAGCAGCCGCGGUAAUUC
rnacentral:rRNA from 1 species